rnacentral:rRNA from 1 species
UACGUAGGGUGCAAGCGUUGUCCGGAAUUAUUGGGCGUAAAGAGCUCGUAGGCGGUUCGUCGCGUCGGCUGUGAAAUCCCGAGGCUCAACCUCGGGUCUGCAGUCGAUACGGGCGGACUGGAGUUCGGCAGGGGAGACUGGAAUUCCUGGUGUAGCGGUGAAAUGCGCAGAUAUCAGGAGGAACACCGGUGGCGAAGGCGGGUCUCUGGGCCGAUGACUGACGCUGAGGAGCGAAAGCGUGGGGAGCGAACAGG